rnacentral:rRNA from 1 species
UUGGAGGGCAAGUCUGGUGCCAGCAGCCGCGGUAAUUCCAGCUCCAAUAGCGUAUAUUAAAGUUGUUGCAGUUAAAAAGCUCGUAGUUGAAUUUCGGGAUCAAUAUAUCGGUCGUGCCAUCGGUACGUACUGGUAUGAUUGGUUUCUCCUUUCUGACGAACCAUGAUGUCAUUAAUUUGGUGUUAUGGGAAGUUAGGACUGUUACUUUAGAAAAAUUAGAGUGUUUAAAGCAGGUCUUUGGCUUGAAUACAUUAGCAUGGAAUAAUGAAAUAGGACGUUCGAACCUUAUUUUGUUGG